rnacentral:ribozyme from 1 species
AAGCAAAAAGCUCUAGUUUUUAAGUUAGUAGAAAAGGAUAUGCCUUUAAGUGUAAAGUACAGCAAUAAAAACAUAAGUUCGGAUCAUUGCCAGCAUAUUUGUUCAAAUGCAUAGGCACAU